GGAAUAUUGGACAAUGGGGGAAACCCUGAUCCAGCGACGCCGCGUGAGUGAAGAAGUAUUUCGGUAUGUAAAGUUCUAUCAGCAGGGAAGAUAAUGACAGUACCUGACUAAGAAGCACCGGCUAAAUACGUGCCAGCAGCCGCGGUAAUACGUAUGGUGCAAGCGUUAUCCGGAUUUACUGGGUGUAAAGGGAGCGUAGACGGUAAUGUAAGUCUGAUGUGAAAGCCCGGGGCUCAACCCCGGGACUGCAUUGGAAACUAUGUAACUAGAGUACCGGAGAGGUAAGCGGAAUUCCUAGUGUAGCGGUGAAAUGCGUAGAUAUUAGGAGGAACACCAGUGGCGAAGGCGGCUUACUGGACUGUAACUGACGUUGAGGCUCGAAAGCGUGGGGAGCAAAC
rnacentral:rRNA from 1 species